GCUGGGCAUGGUGGUGUGUGCCUGUAGUCCCAGUUACUCAGGAGGCUGAGGUGGGAGGAUCACUUGAGCCCAGGAGGUCAAGGCUGCAGUGAGCUGAGAUUGUGCCACUGCACUCCAGCCUGGGCAACAGAGUGAGGCCCUGUCUCAA
rnacentral:SRP_RNA from 1 species